GGGGAUGUGGCGAAACUGGCAGACGCGCUAGAUUUAGGUUCUAGUUCCUUACGGAGUGCAGGUUCGAUUCCUGUCAUCCCCACUA
rnacentral:tRNA from 1 species